GUCAGACCUUCCCAGGAUAACCUCCCUUUUUGUUGUUGUUUUGGUUUUUUUGAGACAGGGUCUCACUGUGUAGUUGAGAAUGACCUGGAACUCACUGUGUAGCCCAGGCUGGUCUCGAACUAACAGCGAUCCUCCUGCCUCAGCCUCCCAAGUGCUGGAAUUACAGGUGUGCACCACCAUGCCCCAGCUAACCACCCUUUUGAUAACCCAAGGUCAACCAAUCAGGGACUUUAAUCACCUCUGCAGCAUCCAUGGGUCCCCUGACCCGGCCAUGGGGAGCAAUGGAAUUGCAGGGUGGGGUCCUGUCCUGCGCACAUCUGCCCCUCUGGGGAGCAGUUGGGCGAAGCUGUGUGCCUCAGGGGCUGAAGCCUCUGAGAACCCUGCCUCCUGCAGGCUGUGAUCUUUGGAGAGGAGAAAAUGCGCCUCUGUUGCCUGCAUCGUGGGCCUCAUUUUCCCAUCUCCUCCAGGACGAGGAUGGCCUCCUAGCAGUCACAUCUUGUGCCUGCAGGGAAGGAGAAAGCAGCAGCAGCAGCUGUGAUCAAAUUUGGGUCCUGGUGCUUGCGAGGCAGGUGGCAGAACCACUGAGCUAAAUCCCGGCCCCUACAACUAUAUUUUUAACAGAAUGUAACCUAAAACUUAUUUUUCACUAAAUACACGUCUUACACUGUUCCGUUCUGGUGUUCUCUGUGAGUAUAAAGCAUUCUGUCACUUGCCUGGCUUCUGUUGCUGAUUUGCCAUAAAUUUGAAGGGGGUAAAGAUACAGGAUGCAUCCUCCUGCCCGUAGAGUUUUUCUUUACCCAAAAUGUGAAGAAGAAAACCUGGAAAUGUUGUUAAGAGAUUUGACUCCUCCAGACCCUCAGGGAAUCCACGUAAAAGGGUUGCGCUCGGAAUUCAUGUCUAACUUACCAUCUGUGCUCAGGUGCAUGGAUGCAGAAAUAGUGGAUGUGUGCAUCAUACGUGGAGUAGCAGUCCGUGCACAUGUAGUCCCCAGCUGUUUACUGAGAGGGCUGAAAAGCCAUCACACCCCACCUACAUACACCCCGCACCCAGGUCUCGGAUUCUAAAUACCUUUCCUGAAUAAGAGGAGCCAGGACUGCUAGGAAAAGUGACAAAUUCUAAGCCUAAGUCAGAGGAAAUAGGAGAUGGCCAGGAGCACUUGUAGAGGCAGAAA
rnacentral:lncRNA from 1 species